UUGCUAUGGUUAUUUGUUUUACUUCAUCCCAACUCUUUGCCCAGUUAAAAAUUGCACUUUUUAUGUUGUAGAUUUUAAUCUUGGAAACUCCUUUUUCUCCUUUAUCUUGCUCAUCAUCACUUUCUUCAUAAAUUACAAGACUCUCCUCAAGUUGCUUCCACCUGUAAAGUCGUUUGCAGCUCAAGAUCACACCCUGAUUCAUUGGUUGAAUCAAGGUUGAAGUGUCAUGGGGAAAGAACAUGCAUUUUAUUCGACCAUCCUCACUGGUUAGUGAUUCAGUGGAAGGGUGAACUGGAGAAUUGUCCAGAAGUAACAAGGCCCUGACAUCCUCCUCAUGGAAUCUUAGAACAUUAACUUGAAAGUGCUUGACUUCAGGAACAAAGUUUUGAAAAAACCAUUCUGAAAACGAUUCUCUGGUGAACCAAACAUCUUUACUAGAUGCAGCAGCACCAGUCAGGAAUAACAGGAAUACCUGCAUACUCUCCCUAACUGAUUACAGGAAAAGACACAAAAGGAAGAGAGGAGGUGAGAUGUGCUCAUAAGAGGGACAGAGUCAGGUAAGAUAAAUCUCAAUAAAAAGUGGUGCUUCACAAAGGAGUGUGAAAGCCUUAAAGGCAAGGACAGAAUAAUAUUGUGUAACAAAGAUGCAGUGUGGCUUCUCCUCUUCCAAAACAAGCUGAUUUUACCUCACUGCCAGAAAGGAAAAUGGUGCUCAUAUUGCUCUGCAUGUAGUGUUCGCUGGGCAGCAGUCCAUCCACCUGGAUAAAUACUCCAAGCUACCCUGACAGUGGGAUGUCUAGAGAGUUGGAAUUCGGGAACAGUUGUAUCUUUCAGUGAAGAAAAAAGUUAGUAGGUUCUGUUGUCCAUAUGAAUGAAAUCCAACUUUUACUGCAUUCAAUACAGCAUUCUCAAAGACUAAGCUUUAACUUGAGUGCUUCUUAUGUUUACCAAGGUAAUCUGUAAGUAUAUAAAUAAUGUAUUUGUUACUGGCACUUUUCCACUCUCAGAUCUUCUUCCUUGUGUACAUCUGGUGUAUUCUCAAGUGUUAUUUUCCACUGAAUUGUUCCAUAUUUGGGAUAUAAUCAAGUUUCAGAAUCAUGGCAAUUCUUAGAGAUGAGUCCAAAAGUUUUAUAAAAAUUUUACAGUAGUUAAAAAAGUAUUAAAAAGAUCUGUCCUUGUGAUUCUUUUCCUAAAUUUACACUUAGUGUUAAGUAACAUACUUUUUAUAUUUGAGACUUUACCUGAUUUCUCUUCAUUACAGAUUUUAGUUAAUUUGACCUAAGACUCAAUUUUUCCAUUGCUUGAAGAAAUUUUAAAGGUUUCUCUAUUGGUGAUUCUGAUCACUUGUUUCCCAUAAGUCCUUCUGUUGGCAAACUCUUCUAUAGCUCUGCACCCUCAAAUAUUCCUUUCAAGUCUUCCUGGUGCCACCCAGUGCCAUUCCAUGUCUGUAGAAAUGUCCUACUCUAGAUUAAUUUCAUGGUUCUUAUUCCAGAUACACAACCUCAUGGGAAGUAACAAAAACUGCCACUUUUAUCCAUUCCAGGUGCUAUGAAGAAAGAAAAGUAUGUCAGAGAAAUGAAAAAAAUGGUAUUUCAGUUAUUUUUCCUCUCCUUUAGGGCAGAGCCUGACUGACGUUCAUUCAUUUCUCAACUACACAGAAUUCUCAAAAGCCUCUCACCUAGAAACCCAGAAGUGUCCAGACCAUUAGUUUUCCUCCAACAUUUGUUGCAAAAAAUGUCAACUGCUUUACAGAGUACUAAGAGGAUCAUGAAAGUACGAUAGUUAAUAGGGUAUGGAGCCAGUGACAGGCUAGGAUCAAGCAACCUUCUAAAAGAGGCAGCUCUAACUAAGGCAAUUACUAUUAUAAAUGUAAAAAGGAAAAAGAAAGUGUUUGUUAGCCAGUAGCAACACCAUUAAAGCAGCCAGUCACCCAGCAAAACCAUUCAGCCCACUAUGGCAGUUGUGUGGUAUCUCAAAAUAAACUGCAUGUGUUUGCUUUCA